rnacentral:rRNA from 1 species
AGCAGCCGCGGUAAUUCCAGCUCCAAUAGCGUAUAUUAAAGUUGUUGCAGUUAAAAGCUCGUAGUUGAAUUUCGGGAUCAAUUUGCUGGUCGUGCCUUCGGUACGCACUGGUAUUAUUGGUUUCUCCUUUCUGAUGAAUCGCGAUGUCAUUAAUUUGGUGUCGUGGGGAAUCAGGACCGUUACUUUGAAAAAAUUAGAGUGUUUAAAGCAGGCUCACGCUUGAAUACAUUAGCAUGGAAUAAUGAAAUAGGACGUUUGAUUCUAUUUUGUUGGUUUCUAGGAUCGACGUAAUGAUUAAUAGGGAUAGUUGGGGGCAUUAGUAUUCAAUUGUCAGAGGUGAAAUUCUUGGAUUUAUUGAAGACUAACUACUGCGAAAGCAUUUGCCAAGGAUGUUUUCAUUAAUCAAGAACGAAAGUUGGGGGAUCGAAGACGAUCAGAUACCGUCGUAGUCUUAACCAUAAACUAUGCCGACUAGGGAUCGGAUGAUGUAAUUUUUAAUGA